UACGGAGGAUGCGAGCGUUAUCCGGAUUUAUUGGGUUUAAAGGGUGCGUAGGCGGCGCUUCAGGUCAGCGGUGAAAUACCGGGGCUCAACCCCGGGGCUGCCGUUGAAACUGGCUGGCUUGAGUUGGGGAAAGGCAGGCGGAAUGCGCGGUGUAGCGGUGAAAUGCAUAGAUAUCGCGCAGAACCCCGAUUGCGAAGGCAGCCUGCCGGCCCCACACUGACGCUCAGGCACGAAAGUGUGGGUAUCGAACAGG
rnacentral:rRNA from 1 species